rnacentral:lncRNA from 1 species
UAUUUUUCAAGGAAUUUGUCCAUUUUUUCUCUUGUAGUUUUCAUCAGUUUGCCUACUGUUUAUCAAUUGUACUUAUCUCUUCAAAGAACUAAAAUAUGGAAACACCUGUGGAGCAACCAGAAACCAACACAAAAGACCAGUCCAACUGGACCUGAAGCUGGAAGCCCCAUAGAACAUAGCCUGGAUGAACCAACUCACAGCCAACCUGCAGACCAGGAAUAGGAAGAGAUGAUGGGGUUUGGGGAUAGUUUUUUAAGCAGCUGUAUAUGACUAACUGAUAGAGCUCAUGGGUUUAUAUAGCAAAUUGAUAGAGUUUAUACAUUUUAUUUAACCAACUCCCUACAGAUAGACAAAUUGAAUUAUUCCAAGAAAAGUUUGGUUCAUUUUAAAAAACAUUUCUAUAAGAUCUAUUUCUAGAAGAAUUGCAUCAAAGAGUUGUACUCUUAAACUUUGAAAACAUAUUACUCAAUUAUGCUCACCAAAGCUAUGCUGAUUCACGUUCUUAUCAUCAGUUUAUAAGCAUUUAUUUUUCCUCCUAUCUUCCAACA